UUCAGUCUUUAAGAAACUCCUUGCUUUUUGAAUUUCCCAUCCCAGAUUAUGUGGGAUUUGGUUUAUUCUGUUUUAAGCUAAUGCCAAAAGUGCUUUUUGGAUGUUUAUGUUAACCUUAUGGAUAAAGCUUUAAACUGAAUAAAUUUUUAGUUGUUUUUCAGUUCUCUAAGCGCUUCUGAAAAGUGCUUUUUAUUUAAGCUAUUUUUUCUCUUUGCAGGUUACAGGAAGUUACAGGAAUGAAGUGACUUUGAUGGAUAGUUUGUGGGUUGUAAUACAGCAAGGUUGGAGGCGCGCCCCAAGUUCAAAGAGAUUGCAAUUUGAUUACCUGACUUUGGUCUUUAGGAUUUAUUCUCAUUUGUAGCAAAUUUCACUGUAAUUACAUUGGUUUUUUUAAGACAAAUGUGUGCUUGGAUUAUGUAACUUAUUGAAUUAAAAGUCUAAUAACCAUUAAUAAUUAUGUAUUCAACCUUUU
rnacentral:lncRNA from 1 species